rnacentral:rRNA from 1 species
CCAGACUCCUACGGGAGGCAGCAGUGGGGGAUAUUGCACAAUGGGGGAAACCCUGAUGCAGCGACGCCGCGUGAGUGAAGAAGUAUUUCGGUAUGUAAAGCUCUAUCAGCAGGGACGAAAAUGACGGUACCUGAGUAAGAAGCCCCGGCUAACUACGUGCCAGCAGCCGCGGUAAUACGUAGGGGGCAAGCGUUAUCCGGAUUUACUGGGUGUAAAGGGAGCGUAGACGGUUAUGCAAGUCUGGAGUGAAAGGCGGGGGCUCAACCCCCGGACUGCUCUGGAAACUGUAGAACUAGAGUGCAGGAGGGGUAAGUGGAAUUCCUAGUGUAGCGGUGAAAUGCGUAGAUAUUAGGAGGAACACCAGUGGCGAAGGCGGCUUAUUGGACUGUAACUGACGUUGAGGCUCGAAAGCGUGGGGAGCAAGCAGGAUUAGAUACCCUGGUAC